UUGAAAGUAGAAAGAGCACUUUUUGAUAUGUUUAUUUAGUCAUUUAGUAAGUCUUCGAGGAAAUAGCGCUUAAUUGCAAGGCUCCGUUUUUUUUUUUUUUUUUUCAGCCUUUGCGCAUGGAUGGUGUUUCCUUUAAUGAGUGGAUAUAAUUUAUGACUGUUAAAAAUUAGAGUAAUUUCAUAUGACCUUCAAUAACAGGAGCCAGAGCAUUUUUUGUAGUAGUAGUAGUUUUUGUAAUCUUUAAUGUAAGAAUGAAAAAUCAGUAAUACCGCAGUAAAGAAAAUAAUAUGGCGAUGUAAAUUUAAUUAAUACCAGGGAGCAUGAAGCACUCUUGUCUGGUGCGCAUUCUUCACUCCUGAUAGCAAGAGCGAUCUUUGAAACGUUGACCGUUUGGGCGGUGGUUGGGUGCUCACAGCAGCAGCCUCAGACAAUGGGAGGAAAUGAUGACGUCAAACAGCGCGGUGUCUGGUAGACCAGUGCUUCAUUCUCGCAGGGGAAGCUAGGGCAACGGUUGUGGUGUAGGUGCACACCCGUCUGGAUUUCGCUUUAAUGCAAGAUUUCCAUAAACAGUGACGUCAUAAUUGGUUACUAUAUUUAAUGAAUAACAGAGGGGGAUUUGCGAAGCUCUCCUCUCUGGACGACCUUUGGAACGGAUGACGUCACGACCAAUGACAGUGCAGAGCUCCUGAUGCCCUGGCGGAGAAAUCAACGGACGCUUCAUUGCUUCGGGAGGAUCUCUGAGUGGCGGUCAUGUUGCUGGUGCUCUCCUCGCCACGGAUUUCGUGACGAGCGACUGUUUUUGACUGAGUAAUGUGCGUGGAAAUACUUCGGUGCCGUCCCCAUGAUGACAGCGGUGCUGCCACCUGACGUGAUGCUUUCAACCUGCCUGGUGUGACGCUUUGCAAAUGGCGGCGCCCAUGGGCUGAUGCUGUUACCGAACCUGGACUGACACAUUAAUAAAUUGAAUAUGUAUAGUAAUGACUUGAAUUAUUAAAUGAGUUUAGAAAGUGUA